GGGGGGAAGCCUACCUUUGGCUGUUGUUAUAGGAUCAGCACAUGCCUUCUGAGAGCAGGAAUGCGGUCAGUCUGACCCCAGGAGGACAAACGCAGAGAACCUGAGGCGUCCUACAAGCGCUUCCUCUUUGUGUUUCCCUCAGACCCCUGCGCAGUCAGGGCAGGCUGUCUCAUUCUGAACACAGAACAACUCUAUGGAGAAGGAGGGCGACCUAUCCGUACCUUGACUGUAGAAGGCAACUGAGACCCAACAUCUCAAGGGCUUGCCCAAGACCCUGAGGCUGAGGGGGCAGGGCUGGAGGUUGGAACCAGGGUGUCUCCCUCCAAAGCCACACGGGCUCUGUUCUCUGAGGCAGAGGGUUAUCCGGCUCUGUCAAGAGGAAUUUCCUAAGUGAUUCUGGUCUGCACACAGAUGCACUGUGUCAGGUCAGUGACGUGUCUCGCUUUUAAAACAAAACAAUAUCCCUCACAGUUGUCCUCUUGUGCGUAGAUGGUGGCAAUUUAUUGUUUGCCAAGGCUUCUAUCUCCUCCCUUUCUGUGUUCCAUUGAGAUCAUGGAAAUGCAAAGUAAAUAGCCAUGGAGUAAAAUGCCUCAGAGAGUAUUUAUUUAAGAGUAUUGUUCCAGGAUAUGCACGGAGAUAAAGACUUUGUGUAAUGAAUGAGUGGCUCCCGAGGCCAAAUACCAAGCAAUCAUUUUCUGUGCCCUGCGUGUCCUGGCCAGAGGAGGUCCACUACCUCUCCUUCAGGACGUGCCCUUAAAGAGGGUCACCUUGCCAAGGGAAAGCCGGGCCUCUGAAUCCACAGGAGCAGGCAGGAGCUCAAGGAAAGGAGCAUAGGAAAAACCCCUGGGCACUGUCCGUUUGUCACAUGUCAAGGGGCAAAGCAGACAAACUAAAAUCAGUUCAAGAUCGAGCAAUGGGGAGACCCAGUGUGCCUGCUGAGCCAGCAUGCAGGGCAUCAGGCGGGAGGGAAAGGCCCGCCUGGAAAGCGCAGCAAGGGGCAGCCUGGCAAGUCCUGCCACCGGACAACGGGCAGCAAUAAGCUUGCUCCUCCUCUCGUCCUCUCGUUCUUCAAGGGCCCAAGGAAGGGAUAGCAGGGCUUGCUCUCUGUGCUGUGCAACCUCUCCGAGAGGGCAGGGAGGGCUGCUGUCCGUGUGCUGGUGGAAUCUGUCUCCACGCUCCCCUGUCCUCCGCAGAUGAAAGCCGACGCACACGCAGACAGAACACCGAGAGCCUCGUUUGGAAUGAAAUACAAAGCAGGAAGCACACAAAUGUCUCUGCAUAUUUAAUGAUUAUUGACUUUUUAGAUUGGUUUGAAAUAAAAGCUUUCUGGAUGAAAUACAGAUUUAGAAGGAUUACUAAAAAGUACAGCUUGCGCACCACACUUACUUUACAUGAAUUCCUCGCAUUUAUGCAUUAAGCCCUACCAUUCCCCUAAUUUCCCAUAAACAUGUAUCUGCAGUGCAAAUUGUUUUACUACUGAAAAUGCCAUCGAUGCAACCUAAUGGUAUAAUGAGCAGAGUUUUCAUAACAGACCUAUGUAUUCACAAUUGCAUACGGAAUGGGCUGGAAGGUGCUCGUGAAGAAAACACAAUUAGGCAAGGUGCUGUCUUCUCCAGGGACCCAGGCUCAUUGUUUUGCAUAAUAAGAAGGUAAAGAAUUGAGUUUUAUUGAUAUGGGAACACAUUUCAUUGUUCCUCUGAUUUAAAAUCUUCACCAAGUGAGUGGAUUAGACCCCCCAUUUCAUUAAAGCAGGGUUACUGGCCCUGCUUCAUUGUCAGUGUCCUGAUUCGCCCUGAGAAUCACUUUCCAUAUAGCUUCUUGUUACUUAAUUAUUACAGUGGGUAGUGAACAUAAAACUUACAUGGAUCUCUUGCUUUGUAAAAAUACACAGAAAGCAUGGUCUUUAUGUAUGGGGUGAGGAUAUAACAAAAGACUGUCUUCUUCUUCUUUUUAAUUAGAUGCCUAAGUGGGUGAAACCUUGAGAGCUCACAUACGACUUAAGAGAUUUUUCAUUAGUCACAUGAUUUUGGUUGUUCAUACAUAUCACACCAGCUCUCAGGUCAGAUGGAUACUAAAGAAAUGCCCAUUGCAUAGAUGGGAAAAUCGAGAGCAUUAGAUCAGUAACUCUCCCACGAAGAGAGACUGCAAAUUGAAAAACCAUGAGGAUCGGACAUGCUCCCGGCUUCUCAUCGGCUCCUAAACCCAAGUCAAUUAAAACAGUGGCAACGGGUUGCAAUCAAAGUUUUUAUUAAUUGAUAUCACAUACGGUGUUUUCAACUUCUCCUCUCUUAUUGUGGACCCAAGAAAGCCUUAUUUGUUUCUCUCCUGAAUAUUCUGUCCCACUUGGACGCUUGCCUGCUUCCCACAGAUGAUCCCUCACCUGUUGCUGCGGGCGGUGCAGCUGCCAGUGAGCGCUGGCUGCUCCAGGCCGCCCCCAAACCCACAGGCAUGGCUGCCAAGGGACCAGAGGGCAUACCUUCCUUUGACAUGCUCUGUCCCUUUUUCUAUCUAUCCUGGGAAAGGAACACUUGCUGCCCACAGGUCCUCAGUGUGAAGUGCUCUGGAAGCAAUACAAACCCUGAGAACAGAACUGCCGCUACCUGUUCCGGUUCAGCUGGGGUGGGGCCCAGCCUGGUUUACCACCCUGGUGAUGUCCUGUGCGUCCAGGAUGGAGAGCCCACUGCCCAGGCCCUGAGGGGGAGUGAUGUCCCCAGCUUGCAGAGGCUGCAGGGGCCCAGAGAGGCCCUCUAAUUAGUGCAGUCACACAGCUGAGUGCCGGAGCUCUGACGGCAGUCCUGGGCUUUCUGAGCCCAAAGUCAAUAGCCGGCAGUCAAUAGCUCUAGACUGGCUGAAUUCCAGAACCAUCCAAGAGGAUUCUACAAGGAUUGAUGCCUGGACCCAGACUGACAUCAGGCACCCUUAUUUUCAAAGUCCCCCAGAUGAAUCUAAUAUGAAACUGGAUUUGAAUACAACCUCACUAAUCUGAAAAUGACCACCUGCAUCAAAAUUCUGUGGGGUGCCUGUUAACAGCAUUCAUUCUAGGAAGCCACCCCAGGUCCCCCGGAUCAGAAUACACAGGGCAGAGGCAGUAUAUGGAAAAGGAUGUUCACACACACACACACACACACACACACACACACACACACACACCACCCCCCAUACCUACCCACACCACACACAUACACACACACACACACACAAAGUCACAGCUAACCACACGCAUACACAUACACACACACAGAUGUCUUUUGUGGUUGACCUGUGUAUUAAAAGAAAAUGAAUCUGGUGUCUCAGAAUACACUUAUUUUUAGACUGAAGACUCAUAGCAGAAAAUUGCACAGGAUUUCUCAUCUAUCAGCAAAGAUAUCUAAGUAUAGCCGUGUCUGUCAUUCCCUAGCAGGCAGAGUUGUGGGUCUGUCUGAAACGUUUCUAAUUUAGAUUAAUCUGGCUCUAUUCUUCCUCUUCUGGCCAGUUAGGGCAAAAUGGUAAAAUAAUCUUUGAUGCACAUUUUCUGAGCUCAUUGACCCAGAGAGCAGGGCAGGAGAGAACAGGAAACGGGCACAGAGGAAGGAAAGGAGAAGGCACUGCUGAAGACAAGCACGAAUGGAGGCUGGGAGCAGCAGCCCGUGGGGAUGGCGUUGGAGGAGGGGAGCCGGGUGCGGCCGGGGGGCUGCAGAAAGAUCUGGAAAAAGUGCAUCAGGAAAGAGGAAGAGCAUCCAGAGUCUCUUCAGUUUGGCCUGGUUGCCUCUUAUUUGCUCUGCAACAGUCCUGGGAAGGACACAGCACGUGUGCCACCAACUGUAGGUGGCCAACGAGAACGCCAUGGGUCAAAGGUCAAGGGCCCUGCCAGGAGUUGGAAGUGUCUUCUGUAACUGGACUUGAAGACAUACCACCUCUGUCCAGAGCUCCGAGCAGAUGGAGGUUUGGGAGUGAAGAUGGACACGAACUUUAACCAAAUGGAGCAAAAGACAGAUUCCAAGUAGGCAGUCAGCACAGAGCCGGGCAAAGGACCUAGUAUAUGAGGGGUCAGGCUUUGCGCCGUUUGGGAGCGUACCAAUAGCUUUGAUAAAUUUAUCAAAAUUGACUGCCCUUGUACUGUUCACCAUGUAAGAACUUAUUCACUAUGUAAGAAUUCGUUCACCAUGUAAGAACUUGUUCGUUAUGCUUCAGAAGAUUGGAGACUGAUGAGAA